GGAUGUGGCCUAGUUGGUCUAGGGCGCCAGAUUGUGGCUCUGGAGGUCGCGGGUUCGACUCCCGUCAUC
rnacentral:tRNA from 2 species